rnacentral:misc_RNA from 1 species
UAAUCUCACUACAAUCCUCUCUGGUUGUACGUGGAUCUGGAUGCUGCCGUGUGCUACAAACGGCUCGUCUGAAAUGCCUGAGUGUACCCUGCUUUGCAGCGUAUUUGGUGUGAUACAUCUUCACCGGAGUUUGACCUUUCGGGGUCACGUCUGCUUACUUAUGGCUCUAUGCUUCCAACUGUCUUGACCAGACAAUGCCUGACA